rnacentral:rRNA from 1 species
GUGGGGAAUUUUGGACAAUGGGGGCAACCCUGAUCCAGCAAUGCCGCGUGCAGGAAGAAGGCCUUCGGGUUGUAAACUGCUUUUGUACGGAACGAAACGGUCCUGGUUAAUACCUGGGGCUAAUGACGGUACCGUAAGAAUAAGCACCGGCUAACUACGUGCCAGCAGCCGCGGUAAUACGUAGGGUGCAAGCGUUAAUCGGAAUUACUGGGCGUAAAGCGUGCGCAGGCGGUUUUGUAAGACAGGCGUGAAAUCCCCGGGCUCAACCUGGGAAUGGCGCUUGUGACUGCAAGGCUGGAGUGCGGCAGAGGGGGAUGGAAUUCCGCGUGUAGCAGUGAAAUGCGUAGAUAUGCGGAGGAACACCGAUGGCGAAGGCAAUCCCCUGGGCCUGCACUGACGCUCAUGCACGAAAGCGUGGGGAGCAAACAGGAUUAGAAACCCUAGUAGUCC